rnacentral:rRNA from 1 species
AUGCAGUCGAGCGGUAACAGAAAGUAGCUUGCUACUUUGCUGACGAGCGGCGGACGGGUGAGUAAUGCUUGGGAACAUGCCUUGAGGUGGGGGACAACAGUUGGAAACGACUGCUAAUACCGCAUAAUGUCUACGGACCAAAGGGGGCUUCGGCUCUCGCCUUUAGAUUGGCCCAAGUGGGAUUAGCUAGUUGGUGAGGUAAUGGCUCACCAAGGCGACGAUCCCUAGCUGGUUUGAGAGGAUGAUCAGCCACACUGGGACUGAGACACGGCCCAGACUCCUACGGGAGGCAGCAGUGGGGAAUAUUGCACAAUGGGCGCAAGCCUGAUGCAGCCAUGCCGCGUGUGUGAAGAAGGCCUUCGGGUUGUAAAGCACUUUCAGUCAGGAGGAAAGGGUGGUGGUUAAUACCUGUCAUGUGUGACGUUACUGACAGAAGAAGCACCGGCUAACUCCGUGCCAGCAGCCGCGGUAAUACGGAGGGUGCGAGCGUUAAUCGGAAUUACUGGGCGUAAAGCGUACGCAGGCGGUUUGUUAAGCGAGAUGUGAAAGCCCCGGGCUCAACCUGGGAACUGCAUUUCGAACUGGCAAACUAGAGUGUGAUAGAGGGUGGUAGAAUUUCAGGUGUAGCGGUGAAAUGCGU